CAAAUUUUCCGUAAUCUCUAUGCUAUUAACAAAUGUUGAUAACAUCUUAACCUCUUAUGUAUUUUCACAGUUUGAGUUCGCUGAUUUUCAUUUUGGUUGUUUUUCAGGGCAACGUUCAAACACCUGUGAGAUUAAUGGUAAAAUACAUGAGGUGAGCAUGGCAUACUUACAGUGGCAUUUUACUAGAAAUUAAAUGUACACCCUUUCUACUACAAAAGCCCUUUGGAAAAUUCUUUACCCAAUCCAUGUCAGUUUAUAACCCUAACCUCUGUUCCUCAAGAAGCUUAAAACAAUAGUGCAUCAUUUUUAGCAAUGUACUUUCUAAAAAAAAAGCUUUCUUCUAUUUGUGGAAUUCUUUUUUUUUUUUUUUUUUUUCCAAAGAAGCUGAUGUAUUGUUAAAGCUCAAAUGUUGUUUGAAAUAACCCUAUGAACCUUCAAAAAUAAAGCCAAAUUUUUUGCUCAAUUGCACUUCAGAAAAGUAUGCAGCACGUCUUUCACCUUCACCUGUGUGUUAUAGAGACACUUCACAAACAGAUGUUAUUUUUUCUUUCCCAUUUUCCAGAGCGGAACAUCUGUAAUACAUUCAUGUAAAAAUUGUACCUGCACUUCUGAGAAAGAUCUAUUUACUGGGAAAAACAUUGUGAAGUGUGAAGCACUUAAAUGUGAAACAUCUUGUCCACUGGUGAGUUGAGAUUCAAUGGGAUGCCCUAUCAGCCUUCAAACAGUAGUAUUGUAGUAAGACCAGUACCGUCCAUCAUCAACUCAACAUACUUUCUCUUCCAUCUCUUGCGAGUAGGGUUACGAAUAUAAGAUUGAGGAUGGAGAGUGCUGUGGGAAGUGUAAAGAAAUAUCUUGCAGAAUUCAUCUAAAUAACGAGACUGUUGUGCUCGAAGUUGGUAAGACUCUGCCACUUGAUCUCUGCAGCCACUACAAGUGUGAAAAAAUUGAAGAUCAAUAUGUUGCAGUUCAAACUAAAAGAAUAUGUCCCGAGUACGGUCCACUGGAGUGCGAUCCCGAUGAAGCAGAGACUACUCCUGAUGGCUGCUGCAAGAUAUGUAAACCUACUAACUGCAAAGCUUACAGCACAAAAACUGUAAUCCAACACGAAGACUGUGAAUCUUCCGAAGCUGUUGAGUUGACAUAUUGUGAAGGGACUUGUCCUGGCUCCUCCAUGUAUUCUCUUAAAGCAAACCAGAUGCAACAUGACUGUACUUGCUGCCAAGAGCUCAGCAGCCACAGAAGAGAUGUGAUCCUGAAUUGCCAAAACGGAACAAGCAUAAAUUAUAGCUAUGUCUAUGUGGAACAAUGCCAGUGUAUAAAUGCAUGCAACCCACAAACUCUUGAAGCAGAUGAUUACCAAUCAAAAAUCAGCCAAAGAUGGACAUGAUCAUUGCAAAAACAACAAAAAUAGGUCCUAGGAAAGCUGGAACCGUAUCUUCCUCAAAAUAACCUGUGCUCCUUCUUUAACUGAUGUUUGUUUGUUAUUACCUUUUCUUUUUUCUUACUUAUAAAAGCCAAAGAACCCUUAAGUAUAAUAUUUUAUUUAAGUGAUACAAUUUUCAAGGUAAAAAAGAAGUAACCAUGUAAAAUAUCUUUCUGUACAUUAUGCAAAUACGUCAAUAUGUGCCAGUACAAUCACAAAACCAACAUUUUGGGAAAAGUUUUAAUGGCUCUAAAAACAAAACCAGAAAACAUUGUAGCUACAUUGCACUCAACUCUUAUAACUAGAGAAAGUUUUAUUGCAUAGCAUUUUUAUGGAUAUAAUGCUCUUAAAAGACAUCACUCAGUGACGGGGAAGAGACUGUUUUCCUGUUCAUCUUGUCUCUUAUGUGAUCAAUAAAACUUUCAGCAUUUUUCAGUUUCGGUGACUGAUCUUGUUUUCACUAUCUAAAUAAUGGGAGGUUCAAUGACAAAGAGGUGGGUUUUUUUCCUUAAAAAAAUAAAAUGAAUUUGGAGGGUUAACUGGCAAUUUGUCUAGUGAAAUCCAGAAGACAAAUGUAAAACAAGAUAGAAAAUUUUAUUCAGUGUUGCUUUACAUCCAAGACUAAAACAAAGAAAGCAGCCCUUCUGAAGCUAUAUAUAAAUGAAAGGUCCGAUCAGUUGAAGAAUACUUACGGUGAAGUCAUUUAAGUAAAUCCAAGCAACUCUCCUGUCCAUAAUUUGUAACAAUAUUUGCAAAUAAGUUCAGGAUAUGGUUUCUGAACUAUUGCCCUUGUUUCUUACGUUAUCUAGAAGUUUUUGAAUGGAUUUACUCUAGAGAGAAAUUCGGUUCCAUUUCCCCACAGCAGUUCAUUGUAUUUACCUGAACUGCUCAGAGCAGGUAUAAAAUAAAACCUGAAAUCUGAUGUGAAGGCUUAGUUGAAAAACUAGGGAGUCAUUGAUAAUUACACAUUUUAUAUGUGCUUAUUUAGAAAUGAAUCCCUGAAUGGUAUCAGUAGAACCUCUCUGUUGCCCUGCACAGACAUGACCUGAUAACAUACUGGGAUUAACCAGUAAGAAGCUUCAUGUUUUACUGUUGAAUUCCACAUCACGGCUACAGUUUGCCAGGCCAGCCAUAGGUCUGCAGAUAGGAUUGCUAGCUAAGGCAGUGGUGCACACAGCACCUCCUGCACCAUCUCUGAUCUGUUGAAUCACAUUCUUGCCAUGGGGAACAAAGGCUGAGUCAAGACAGGCUGUGCACCAGCAGUUCCAUAUAUUCACCACUCUGACCCGAACCCCAGGUAUUGCUACAGUUAGACAGCCCGUCAGCCCUGGAGAGUGUCCAGUGUAUGAAGCACUCAGCCAGCUUCAGUGCAACUUCCACAUUUCUGGCUUCCAAAGCAUUUAGCACUUUGGGCAGAGCACCACAGAACAGAGAGAGUUUUGAUCUAGCACUGUACUUGGCAAGCAGUCAGCACUCCCAGCUGCAUGAGGGCUCACUGUGUAAGAGGCACUCACAUUCACCAGCUGUUUGAGGCCUGGCAUUACAAUGCUGAGAUAGCAAUAUUAACCUGAGCUAAGCAAACUGAUGCCUGCAGAGCUGAUAGGUCACAGAGCAGGCUAAAAAAACCAGCAACACUAACAAAAUCUAAAAUGCUUUCAACAUUGCCUUUGAGUUUGUACUGAAGCCAGUGAGAUGUGUGCACUUCCUCAUUCCUUCCCAACUCCCUAAUCCCUGGACUCUUGAGCAUUUAGUGCUAUGCUCACUAACUACAAACAGUCCUUAACUUUUCCUGGGCUGGAUCUCCUGAACUAAUUUUAGUGCCAUAUUAACACAUUAGUAGUAUGUUCCAGCUCAAGCCUUAAGCUGCCCUCUACCGGUCGUUUUCUUCUCUAAAGACGACUGACACAGUACCUACCUCCUUAGUUCUGCUGUAGACAGGGAGCUUUGCAAAGCAUUGCCACCCAUCAGAGGGAAAUUUCUCUUUAUCUGAUAUUGCUAGAUCAUGCAAUAUUUCAAAUUUUGCUUGGGAUUAUGGGAAGAAUUGAGAAAUAGGGAUUUACUGUUCUUUAUUCACCAAAAUAAACUGGAGCCAUUGCUACUCAGUUUACAGCACAAUUACUUUCAUCCAAUCUUUUAAAAAUAUUUCUAGUCUCUUAGGCUAUUCCCAGUCUUCUGUCUGACUGAGCACUGUUGGUAGUUUGCAUUUUGGAAAGCACAGAGCAAGCAUACAUGAUUAGUUCAAAGUGGAAGGCAAAAGUCCUUGUAAACUCAUCCAUUUUAGUUCAGUGAUACUGAAGUGUUCUCACAGGUACAAACACUGCAUGUGCAUCACAGACACUCACUGACAACUUACAUGCUCUGUGUGCAAGUACUUCAGUUCCACAAUGCACUGACUUUUAUGGAACAUAAUCUUUGUUUUUGUGCAGUUCAGACAAUAGAAGCUGUGAAGUAGCAAGCAGUGUGUCCCACCAGCGAAAUGAGCUGUAAGAUUUUCAAGAGUUUGCUUGGAAGUCAUUAUGUUAAGACAUCAAUAAAUGACACUAACUGCAUAGUUCCACCAUAUUGUCAUCUAACAUUCCCUGACGUACAAGCCCAUUGUAGUUGGUUGCCAACAGAAGUCAGUUUUCUGUUUCCUAAUCUAGCUAAAUGCUUUUCUAUGGUAAUUUUUAGUGAAAUACCAGUAUAGCUGAUAGCAGUAAAUAUAGGAUGAAAAAUCUCCACUUUCAAAUUCAUUCAAUACCUUGUGAAAAUCACAAGAAAGAGCUCAAGAUUGGCAUUAUUUACUGCUUUGUGUUUUAAGUAUUAUUCAUCUGUAGUUCUGUAAUGAUAUCUUGCUACUAAGAUAUAUGUUUAGUUAUUUCCAGAUACAUUAAGUCAUGCACACAUUUUAUCAUUCCAAGUUCUGAGUUUGGUGUAGUACAUAACUGCACAUAUUUUAACAAAAAUGGUUACUUCCUGAGCAUCAAACAAAUGCAUGUCUGCAUGUUUUCCUAUAUAGUUACUUCUGCUUUACUUAGACAUUCCCUGGACUUGCAGUAGCAGUACAGCAUUUGUUCCAUGAAGUCUCCAUAUGUGUCUCCUGAACUCUACUUACCUGAAGUGCAAGUCCCCUGGAUUUGCUUCUGCUCAGGACUUCAGAGAAUAAAGGUACAAGAAUUGAUUUCCCUUUAAAAACAAAGACAUACACCAAACAUCCCUUCCCUCACCACAUUUCACUGCCAUUUUUCAUCUUUCCUCUUCUUUUGAAGCAGACUCUCAAAGCAGUGAUUUAAGGAAAUAUUUUGUUGCUUUUUAACUUACAAGUUCCAUCCACCUGCCUUGCUUACUGAUAAUUGGUAGCACAUCCAUGCUUAUAGUACAAUACCACUGCAUGUAAGGAGUUUGCUGUAUUCCUUCAAGUCCCCUACUUGUCUCCCAGUGGCGUACAGAGUUCCUGCAUUGUUAAUUUUACCUCUACACAGAACACACGUGCUGAUUCUAUUCUCAAAGAGGCAGUACAAGUUAUACCAGAACAUUGCUACUGAUACAUUUACUUUCAUAUUUCUUGUUCUCACACUUUCUUUUCUCAAGCCUCAAGGUUAUAUUGCCAACAGGAAGAUAAGCCAUUAAUUUGACUUACUGGUCUCCAAAUAUUGCCCCAGUAGCUUACAGAAAUAGGCUUACUGUAGUUCUGUGAAAUAGGAGGUAUGUGCAAAAGUUCUUGCCAGAUGUAUGAGCAUCAUUCAGAGCUGUGAUAGUUUUGUGAUCUUGGGAUUUAAAAGGACAUAGGCUUGGCUCAGACUAUGCAAAACCAGAAGGAAUUAACAAAACACAGCAUCCUGACCAUCUUUACAUAACAGAUUAUAUAAUUUCAUCCAUUAUUUUUGUAAAAAAAAAAGUCAUAGCUUCAAGUCUUAAAAAUAUUAUGAACCUUGAAUCAAUUUUCACUUAUUCCUUUCCUGCGGACUGCCUUUUCCCCAUACAGAGAAAUCUGAGAUUUAUUUUUUUCCAUAAGCUUCCUUGCCUCUCUUCAACCCCCUCCCAACUUACAUUAUCAGCAUAGAAACAUCUUUAUUUAAAACAUACAAGCAACUAUUAAAAACAGCAAAUACUGCAUUCUAACAUUUAGCAAAUCACAGCAGAUUUGUGGCCUCUUACACACAGUCACAACAGUCUUUAUGGUUACAUUAUUUGCCAACAGCUGACAACACCACCACAUUGAAGUAAUUAAGCUCUCCCAGCUGCUUUCACUUUAAUUUCCUCCACUGAAGAUUGUGGAGAUGGAUCACCUUCAAUACAGAAUCCUGCAGAGUAGCUCAAUGGCCUGAGCCCUUUUCAAGGUAUUUUACCGCUUCCACAGUGUUUAAGUAAGACACAGAUCAUGUUAUAUCCUUCCAAAACACUCAUUGUGAAGGCAGAGCCCUGGACCAAGAUUCAGUAUCACAUGGAUGUAAGCCCUAAGGUGUGCCAGGAAGCAUUUAGCUGCUUCUUGCAGCUUAUGUUCUGUUAACUACCAAUCAAUGAAUUCAGCUGAUGAACAAAAGACACCUGAAAACACAACAACCCACAGCCUCUCAUGCUACAAUACUGAUCAUGUGAGGACCUAAACCACCUCAGUGAAAACAUUCCUGCUGAUAUCAGAGCUGAUACCAUUCCCAGCUACCUGAGCUUUUAGUUUCAAACACUUCCAAGCAGAGAUGAUCUGCUUGAUCCUCUAUGAAGUAUCUUCAGGACUCUCAGGUUACCACAACCUUGAAACUAAGCUUAAAUUGUUGCCAGUUUACUUACAAGUGAAUAAAAUCAGUGGUAACAGAGCUUGUUAAUGUGCUAAUUCACACUUUGUUGAAAAUGCAAUAAAAACUGUUUUAUAAAAACUCCUUUUUCUGAGCUGAUUCUAAAGAAAUGCUACAACAUGAAGCUGAUUAGUAAUAAAUUACUUAUUUUAAGGGGAUGGAAACAUGACAGUGCCAAAUAACUGAAGCCAAUCUAGAAAGAAAUGGACAGCGAACAUGUGGAAGGUAACAGUAUUGUGAGUGGAAGGGGACACUGAACUUGGAACUGGAAAUAACUUCAAAACAUUCCUCAUUCACUUACAAUGUCAAAUGCAGUGAAAUUAAAGAUGUUGUUCACAGUCUGCUUCAUACUCCAGAUCAGUACACUGAAUCUUUUUAAAGAUCUGUUCUAAAUGAACUCUUCAAAUUGUCCAGUGCAGUGUUUUCAUAGUUCUCCCCCAUGUGGAUGUAGCAAAGAUUGAAAUCCAUCUGCUUGCUUCCACUCUUUCACCUUCCUAAUUUAUAUGCAGCUUUUACUUUGAAUGUUAUGAUACGUAAUUACAGUUUUUCCUUACGAAAGGAAUUCCAUGAAUUGGCAAGAUGCUUCUAGUGUAUACAAAGUAUAGUAUGAAAACAGAUCAACCUGAGUUUCUGAGCAAGCUUGCAAAAGAUCUAAGAAAGUUGAAAUCUGCACAACUUAAAAGUGCAACAGAGAAUAUUGCAACUGUGGCUUCUCAUUUCCCCUCCUUAAAGAAAAUUUCUAUUUCUUCCUUGAGGCUCUGUUUUCACUGAUGUAGUUAGAUGUUUUAAUCAUUCAAAAUACUCCAACUUCUCAUUAAAUUCCCAAAUACCAUCACUGGGUAAUCAGCAUUGAAACGCAAGCACUAAUAAGCAAUGAAAUGCUAAGCAGAUGCUUCAGCCAUUACAUGAAAGCCAACAUUUGUUUAUGUAAAUUAAUUCUCACUUGCUCUCUGUAACAUGAUGGAAAGCACAGCAACAAUAACAGAGUAGCAGAAUCCUAGGCUGCAACAAGCAAGGCACAGAAACAAAGGAAAGAAGCUGCUUACUUUCAGAAGGCUUCAGGUAUACAGAGAACACCAGAGAGAUCCCCUUCCUCCACUGCCAACCUUUAGAUGAGGUCUGGGAAGGGGCAGA